UAAGACAGAUAUUACUGUGCCUUUCUCAAACUACUUGAUCCCACAGGGAAGUCAAGGCUGAAUUUUAUGACAUCACAAUGGUUUACAGAGCAACAGAGAAAGAAGUUGUAAAACAGGAUUAUGACUUCAGUGGAGGAUGCAACAGAAGGGGUAAGGUAGUGAGGGGGGGGGGGGGGAGAUCUUAAAAGCAGUGCUAGCCUUCCAUUACAAAAUUCAAAACCGCACCAGUGCUUUGCUAUAAACCCAGAAUUUGGUCCAGGCUCUUCCAAAAGUCCGUGGACAUGGGCUGAAUUUCAGAAAGCUCAAAUACUGGACUGUCCAGUUCAAAACCGGACACCUGGCAACCCUAGUAAUGGGGCUCCAUCAGAGCUCACAGCAACGGGCAGAUUUCAAACACAGACUCAGCCCACUGGUAAUAUUUUAUUCUCUGAUCCCCCAAAGACUAAAUUUUCCUCUGGAAGAAGUGUCCAACUUUCACGGAACUCAGCUGGAGACAAAUUCAUCCUAAAUAAAGGCACUGGGUUCAUGGUUGCUGGGAGAAUACAACAGGGAAAGUGGAACAGGAUCUGAGCGGAUGGUUACAUCUCUCUCAGGCUGAAUUCCACAAGGGAAACAGGAAUCUUCAGCAGUAAGACUGCCUGCUCCUGCCUCCAUGCCUGAAAAUCCUCAAGAGGGAAGGAACUACCACGAUAAUCUUCUGUUUGGUGCCUUGGUCCUAAGUCCUUUCUCCUGUCUUCAACCUACAUGACUGUUUGGGGGAUGAGAAAAGGUGGGAGUCCCAGUUAAUGUGCAACCAGAUGAACCUUUCCACUUCAUUCCAUGGAGGAAGUAAGGUGUAUCUCCAGCAGAAAAAGCUAUGACGCCCCCAUUCCCAAGCUUCACUGCCUGGAACUCCCUUUGGCUGCAGCAGUCAGAGGGGAUACUAUGCAGUGUGUUGAGUGGAGCACAGCUUGCACGUGCUUGUCUCCCCCUCAUCUGUCCCUCCUCCUGGGGAGGAGAAAUGCACAUAUCAAAGAGACCUUCUAUGAACUGAUCUGAGGGCGCACCCUAGAACAGAAUUUUCUGAAGAAGGAUCUUAGAUUCCUACCACGAACCUAACAAAGCUGCACAGAAAUCUCACACUGAAAGCACUGGCUUUCUAUACCUCAUGACUAAGGCUAAGAUUUAGUCAUGGGUAUUUUUAGUAGAAGUCAAGGAAAGUUCACAGGCAAUAAACAAAAAUUCCCAGCCUGUGACCUGGCUUGACUUUUAUAUUUAAAUAUUCCCAACUAAAACUUGUGGGGUCCCAAGACACCACUGCUCGGGGUGAGGGGGAGGGCAAGCAGGGGCUGAUGACUAUCCCUUACACUGGCAGUGGGGACUGACUAUCCCCAGUCAACCACUGCACUGAGGUCCCAGAGAUCACUGCUCUAAAGGCCUCCGGGGUGACCCUUGGAGCCGCUGCUGCUGGGGUGGCCCUGGGGUCAGAUGCACUGGCCACUGGAGCUGCUAAAUUCAGAGAGAUCAUGAUCCAUGACUCUGUGACAGAAUCACAGCCGUAACCAUGACUAAAUCAUAGAGCUGGAAGAGACUUCAGGAGGUCAUCAAGUCCAGCCCUCUGCCCAAGGC